ensembl:lncRNA
AAGUAUGUAGUUCAAUGAGUUGUAGCAAAGGUACACCCAUGUGUCAAUCAGGAUAGAGAAGGUUUCCUUCAACCUGGAAGUUUCAUUUGCUCCUUUGCACUCAACCCCUGUCUCCUGGCCCUGGGCGACCACUGAUCUGCUCUCCGUUGCUGUAAAAAUAUUUUGUCUUUUGUAGAUUCACGUGAAUGAAAUCAUGCUGCAUGUUCUCUUUUGUUUACAGUCUGUUUUGAUGAGUUUAAUGGUUUUAGACUCAUUGUGUUGUUGUCUGUAUCAGAAGUUUGUUACUUUUGAUUGCCAAGUAGCAUUCUAUUGUAUGAAUAUACCACAAUAUGUCAUUCUCCUGUUGUUUUCAGUUUUUGCCUACUAUGAAUAUGUAUUAGUUAUUUGUUGCUGCAUAACAUUACCACAGCACUUAGUGGUUUAAAUAGGAAAUGUUUGUUCUAUCACAGUUUCUGUGGUCGGGAGUUGGGGUCUGUCUUCGCUGGGUGCUUCUGCCUCCAGGUCUCUCAUGGAGCUGCAGUCAAGGUGUUGGCCGCAUGCUCUUUCCCAUGCUCAUGGCUUUUGGCAGGAUCCUGUUCCUUCGGACUGUUGGACUGAGAGCCUCAGUUCCUCCCUGGCUGUUUGACCAGAGGCCUCCCUCAAUUGCUUGUCACGUGGGCCUCUCCAUAGGGAAGCUCCUGACGGGCCCACUGGCUUCAUCAGAGCGAGCAAGGAAGAGAGCAAGAGAGAGCAAACAAUAUGAAAACCAGUCUCUUUGUAGCCAGUCUCAGAAAUGACAUCUCAUCCCUUUCACCGUGUUCUCUUUUUUAGAGGAAAGUGAUCAUUUGAGGAAGUGUGAAAUGUUAAAGGGCAAGUAUAUUGGAAGUAUCACGAAGGAGAGAUACUUAUUCACGGUCUGGGACCGGCAAUCAACAUGUGCCUGAGGAGGAAUCAGGCGAAGGAUGCAGUCAAGACCAACACAGUCCAUGGAGAAAAUACGCAAAUGACCCCGAACAAAGACGUGAACUGCUUUAUUUGUCAGAAACCUCGUAUCCUGUGUGUUAUGGCAGAUUUAGGUGAUUUUCAAGGUAAAUACGGAACAUAAGCAAUUUUCUUCUAAUGGGCUCACGUUAGUAAUCACUCUCCCCUUCCCCACCUCCAAUCCGCAUCCGUCUUUACGUCCUUCUGCCAUGCCCUACCCCGCUGUAUCUUUAUUAAAGAGGCGGGUAAGUAUCCAAAGGGCAUUUCAGAACAGGAAAAAUAAACACCAGAGUGCUCGCAUACUGAGAAAUCUUUUGUGCCUUAUAAAAAACGAGCCCUCCUGGGCUCUUUAAAGUCUUUAGAGGCUGGGCAUCCUGGGAACCUACCUGUCCUCCCACCUGCUUUCUCUCUGUGGUCUCUUCCUCAAGCCCACGUAACAGCUCUUCUCCCCUUCAAGUCUCUCAUUCGAGUGAUGCCACUUUGUCCCUUAGAUAACGCUACUGUACCCACCCCUCCAUCCCUCCAGCAAUGCCUCAGCAUCUCUCUGGAUGCUUGUUGCUUGUCUCCAAAGGAUGUGACCUCAUGCCAUGAAUGAAGAUGAAUGCUGGUCGUCUCACUCCAGUUUCAGAUGCCCCCCCUCCCCCCGAGUCAGCAUGUGUCCCCAUGGGGCAAAGCAUUGCAUUUCUGUAAAGGUAUUUAUUGGCCUUAGUGGCACAGGUUUAACCUGGUCCUCUAGGAACUCUAGGCUCACCUUCCUCACCAAUGGACCAAGAUAUGGCCUUGCCUGGACACGUCACAGGGGAAGCCACACGAGCUAGCAAUGGUUGUUCUCUUUGCCACCCUUUCUGAUUGAUGCCAGCUCCCGUAUGUCAACUUCAGUUAGAUCGUUUUGAUUAUAAGUCCUUUAAUAGAAUUGAUGGUCCUGUGUGUGUGUGUGUCUUCCCCACACCAAGGCCCCAACAGGCCCGCCAGAGUCCACUGCGAUUCUGGCUGACUCCUUUGGCCACUCCAUCGGAAAUUACUGCUGUCUCUCCCGUGGCUGAGGCAGGGCUUUCUCUCCCUGCUGAAUGCCUUACCCACUCGCUCCAUAAACUCCAUCUUUUCUGAGGCUUCCUGGAACUAAAGUCCUGGCUUCAUGACACCUUUUGGGGAUGACGGUCUGAGUGGUUCCCCCAGUCCAGAGCACCAGCCAUCUCACUGCCCUUCUCCACCUCAGUUUCUGGGUCCCAUCUACCCCCCACCCGCCUUGAACCUAUAGGCAGCGUCCCUUCUCAGGACCUAAUGAGCAGAAAAAGGAGGCCCCUGUCACCCCAGCAUGGAACAGGAGAGCUGGUCACGACUAGGAGUUUCCCCUUUUGAUGAUAGGGGAUCUACACUGCCUGGAGGAGGGAUGUGACAUCACCAGUGUUAGUCACCACCAUUUGGGGCCUGGAAUGGUAAUUAAGGGUCCGUAUCACGCUGUGUUUCCUGUAACCUUUGUUCCAUUCCUGACAUUUAUAACAGGCUUUCUCUCUUCAACUCAGAUAAGAACCUAUGACAUGUGCAUUUGUAAGGUAAAGUUCUUUUUUGAAAAAGAGCUUAUGAUGCCGUCAAAUAAGAACUCAAUCCACAGGAAAUUAAUUUUAAGGACUCAAAAGAGAGAGGCUUUGGAGAGAGAGAGUUUCUCUCUUUUGAGUCCUUAAAAUUGUUAAUUGUAGGAAAAUAUCACAAUGUUUUCUACCUGUGUUUAAAGUUGGAAGUUAGAGAUUAGUGACCCCAACUAGAAGUUUAGGAUCAUAUUGUCACUGAGUUCGGAGCACAAAAGAGUGUCUUCCUAUAAGGAUGGAGCGUCAGACAAGGCCAGAGGGACCGCAGGUCAGAGCUUCUAUUUGCACAGUGACGUCUGACCCAAACUAGAGAAAAUAGCUAGGGGAGCUGACUUCAUCUAAGACUCCAUCUUAUAUUUGCAUCACACAGCCUUUUGGAAGGAAAAACAAACAAACAAAUAAACAAACUGCAUUUUCCUCAUGUGCAUUGCUGCUCCUUGCCUACACAAAUCUCCACCUUGGAAAAUACUUCAGAUACCAGGGAGGCCUGUGGACACAUAGACAAUGGCAAAGUAGGAGGAGAGGUGUGUUUUAUUGCUGCUAAAAAUAAGAGCAAGCUGCACCUCAAGAUGACUAAGAACCAUGGAGUCUAAUCAUCUCAAUGUUUUCUAAUAAAAGCUAACGACUUCCUUCUCUUUAAUUGCUUAUUUAUUUGUGGUCUUCAUUUGUUACUGAAGGUUGGAUGUAAAAAUGUCAUGGGGCUUGGCUGGCAGAAUGCACCACAUGAAAUAAGACAAUUUGAAUGGAAAAACCUUUCAAAUUAAGACCUGAGAGAAAAAUGCAUCUAAAGCAGAGGGAGAAACAACUGGCAGCCUUUGACCCCGAAGAAUCACAUAAGUUAAGACUUCAGCUCAUUGCUGAGUGAUGUGAACACAGUUAUAAAAGCUAAACUCUUUACAUUUUUUGUGGGGGGAGAUGUUACUGCUUUUAAUAAAAUUCUAAAUAAUCUUUGUUCGUCUUAUUCCCGCUUGAGAAGCUGAACGUGCUGUUCAACAGAAUCAAAGUAG